GUUCUUUGGAAAUUCCCCACCCUCAUGGGCUUUCUUGUUUCUCGGGUUUACAAAACGUUCUUCUGAAGCGUGAGUGCAUCUCCAUCCACGCUGGCCAGGCUGGUGUCCAGACUGGCAAUGCCUGCUGGGAGCUCCACUGCCUGGAACAUGGUAUCCAGCCCAAUGGCUCAUCCCAGGCAAGGAAGAUGCUAAUAACUAUCCCUGAGGGCACUGCACCAUAGGCAAGGAGAUCAUGGACCCCUGUCUCAGACCAAAUUUGGAAAGUGGUUUGACCUUCAGCCUGCUUUUGUCUAAGAACUUAUCAGUGGCCAAUUCAAGUGAAUUCAAGUCCAUCUGUGAACUCCAAUUCCAAGGUAUUUUUGCAGCCAGAAUCUUGAAGG